rnacentral:rRNA from 1 species
AGUGAACGCUGGCGGUAGGCCUAACACAUGCAAGUCGAACGGCAGCACAGUAAGAGCUUGCUCUUACGGGUGGCGAGUGGCGGACGGGUGAGGAAUACAUCGGAAUCUACUUUUUCGUGGGGGAUAACGUAGGGAAACUUACGCUAAUACCGCAUACGACCUACGGGUGAAAGCAGGGGAUCUUCGGACCUUGCGCGAUUGAAUGAGCCGAUGUCGGAUUAGCUAGUUGGCGGGGUAAAGGCCCACCAAGGCGACGAUCCGUAGCUGGUCUGAGAGGAUGAUCAGCCACACUGGAACUGAGACACGGUCCAGACUCCUACGGGAGGCAGCAGUGGGGAAUAUUGGACAAUGGGCGCAAGCCUGAUCCAGCCAUACCGCGUGGGUGAAGAAGGCCUUCGGGUUGCAAAGCCCUUUUGUUGGGAAAGAAAAGCAGCAGGUUAAUACCCCGCUGUCCUGACGGUACCCAAAGAAUAAGCACCGGCUAACUUCGUG